AGCACCGAGAAAGUGGAGAACCCAUGCUCUAUAUAAAGUCAGCUUCCUGCUCAGUUCUUCCUGCCUUCUCUCCUGAGCAGAGGCAAUCAUCCUUUUGUGUCUUCCCCAAUAAAUCUGUGUGAGGUUUCUUGUGUGUGUGGUGUGACUUUGUGGUAUUCCUAGACUCAUUACUUGCAGGAUACUCUUCUCUUCAGAGCUGUAACACAGUUACAAGGUAUCUAUGUUCUCUUCCAAGAGAGCUUGCCAGCUGGCAGCACAAAGAUCCGGUAACUAAGAAAUAGUGUAAUUAAUAAGUAAUUCUUUUUAACAAAGCCUCCAGUACAUAUGGAGAAAAGGUCUUGAUUUCAGCGAUACACUCAGAACAUGGAAAGGAUAGAAAUCUACUCUGGCUUUUGGGUUUAUUUUAUUGUGGCAGCUUGAAUCCAGGGCCUCCAGAAUGUGAAGGACAUGCUCAGACAUCCUGCUGACAAACAAACCAGGAAACCAACCAGCAAGCGAACUGAAAUGUUAACUCCAUAAAGUCCUGGCCCCAGAGUCUUAGGAAGCCUAUAAAGUCUACAGAUGACUGAGUGCUCUCCUGCUCCUGCUCUAUGGCCUUCUGUGCACGCUGGAACCUGUGGUGUCUACAGUGAAAAUGAAGAGAAGCCCGAACCGCCGCUCUCCCGCCAUGAUUCUUCAUGCAAAGCAUGGAUUGUAGAUUCAAGCAACAUCCAUAAUCCUUAGAGCACCGUUCUCCAAGAUGACUUUGAAGGUAUAAGAAGAACCUAUCCUUCCUAAAGAUGAAAUCUAAGGCCAAGAAAAUCAGGGAGACAGAAUAAGAAGUCUCCACAGCCCCAGUAAAGAAGACACACAUCUCACCUACCUCUGGCAGCCAAAGAUUUUGUGGCUCUGGACAUAUCCCAUAUAAUUUUGGAACCAAGACUCCAAGAGAAAGAAACCUGUCCACGACUUCAUUAUUAGAUUCUCUUUGUCACUGAGUCUGCCAUGAGGAAGACAGAAGACAACACACACCUGUUCACUGUGGAGGCCAAAGUCAACCAGAGCUAGAUGAAACUGGCUGGGGGUGGGGGGUAGCUCUGUGACACAGAAGCAGCAGUAGGUGCCCUGAUCAGGCCUGGUGCACAGCAGGAGAUAGAACCAACCCUUUCAGCUUCUGCUAAGUUGUGGAUGUUGCCAUCAAAAUUAAUAUCAUCAAAACAUUUCAACUGACUAAUUUUAAAUUUUUGUUGUUGUUAUCUUG
rnacentral:lncRNA from 1 species